CAGCAGCCACGGUAAAACGUAGGUGGCAAGCGCUGUCCGGAAUUAUUGGGCGUAAAGGGCUCGCAGGCGGUUUCUUAAGUCUGAUGCGAAAGCCCCCGGCUCAACCGGGGAGGGUCAUUGGAAACUGGGAAACUUGAGUGCAGAAGAGGAGAGUGGAAUUCCACGUGUAGCGGUGAAAUGCGUAGAGAUGUGGAGGAACACCAGUGGCGAAGGCGACUCUCUGGUCUGUAACUGACGCUGAGGAGCGAAAGCGUGGGGAGCGAACAGGAUUAGAUACCCCUGUAGUCCCUGUCUCUUAUAC
rnacentral:rRNA from 1 species